GCAAACAUACUUUACUCAAUUAUUACUCCCGAGUAUAUGGUGCACAUUUCAUUGAACUGAUAAAAUUACAAAUGAAAGAUUCACACAUCCAUCCGACCACUUGUUUAUACAGAAUCGAGCGGCUAUUUACAAAAUGAAUUUACUGAAUUUAAACAACAAACGAAUUUCAAAGCGCAACAUACGAAUUUAGUAUCUUAUCAUGCACAUAGACGCUGCAGAUACUAGUUAUUACUAGCUGUUAUUUCUAUGAUAGUUUUAUCUUAAAUUAAACUGGUAUGACGAUGGGACGAAACUGAGCUGCUUAUCCUCACGGGCAGCGCCGUCCAGCGCUGUUAGGAUCGUAGGUGCAGCCAGAAGGCCCCGCCCACAAUCUCCUCAUCACCACGGCUAGCUUCACUGACGCCAGGACGCCGCCGUAGCCGUUGGUGCUCUGCUGCUGAUGCUGGCCUGCCGCCGCUGUCACCAGAGGCCUCGAGGCACCGGCGCCGUCGGAUGCCGACAUCACAAGGGCCAGGACGAUCAACAGCUUCACGCACGGCCCUAGCAUCUGACCAACUGCCAUGCUUGACGUCUUCGAGAGGCGUCUUUGCUGAAUUGCAGUGCUACAGGCAGGGGAUCAGAAAGGAACAAUUAACUAAGACUGGGUGGCUGGCUAGCUGCUGCGCUUAAUGGAUGGCCACUGCUUCUCUGUAAUGGAGGUUUGGAGUAGCUGGUUAUUGAUCUGCAGAAAAAGCUGCGAGAGUGUGCUUUGCAUUGUGAGUAUAAAUACACACACGAUCUCGAGCCAUGUCUCGUGUAGGCACGCUUCACGUCAGAUUUUUCAUGCUAAAUGCGGUGAAGUUUCCCAAAGUCAACUAGUAUCAGCCUAGCUGGUUAUUUGUCAAACUGGGAAUUGGUCUGUGCGUGCGUGCGCCGCACUGAACCGAGUGGGAAUUGCCACGGUAGCACCCGCAACAGUACACCGUCGUCCCGUACGGACAAAUGGAGCCGAGUACGUAGUUCAUAUUCAGUAGGAGCUCAGCGCUGCUAGCUCGAGGGUCGUGUAUAUAUGGACGGUGUAAUUUUGCUGCGCUUAAUUAUCUAGGUGUAUACUCCUAUAAGACAAAAUUAAAAUACGAAAGAAUUUAAACAGGAGUCCGACAUAUAUGCGGGACGGGACCCGGGACGCGUUAGUCGCGUGGAAGACGUGAGAUCCAAUUGCCGUCGAUUUGAGGCUUGAGCCGUAGUAGCAAGUUCCGGAUGACUUCCACGAGGUUUUCGUCAAACUCCAUGCAAAUUUUCGCGGAAUCUGCAUGCAUGCAGCCAUAUUUGUUACCUACGCCACGUAGUAACGUUUCCGUGCCAGACAGCGGCGAUCGACGACUACUGAUUACCGACUCAGCUUCUUUGACAACGACUCAACUUCUUGGACUGACAAAUGAUUUGCUUGCUACUAGCCUGUGCACGGCCGGAACUGUACAUGUGCGUGCGUGCGGCCUGCUGGGGCGCCGGGGGCACCGCGGGGAUGCAUUGCUGGUAGACGCUAUCGGCACACAGACGUUGCGGUGUUUAGAGAGUGCACGACGAAAUCAUACUCCGCGUUCCACAAGCAGUCGGCCGUCUUCGCGUUUCUUCACACACUCACCACUCACCAGCCAUACACAAAUUCUCGGCCUUGUGCACAGCAACCGGGCCGUUGCAUGCAUGCACCGCACACGGCGCACACCACAGUGAACGCGGGAAAGGGCUUUCAACUUUGCGAGCGCAGGGCGGAGGCGCAGCAUAAUUACUGUACUACUGUCUACGACAGUAGCUGGCUACGAAUCUCCGUCGCAGCCGGCAUUGCAGCCUUGUUUAGUUUGAGAAAAAUUUUAGAUUUCGCUACUGUAGCACUUUCGUUUGUUUGUGGCAAAUAUUAUCCAAUCAUAGACUAAUUAGGAUCAAAAGAUUCGUCUCGUAAUUUACAGAUAAACUGCGUAAUUAGUUUUUGUUUUCGUUUAUAUUUAAUGCUUCAUGCAUGUGCCGCAAAAUUUGAUGUGACGGGGAAUCUUGAAAAAUUUUGGAAACUAAACAAGGCAUGAAGUGGUCGCAGCUCGCGCCUAUACGUACGUACAGUAGUACAUGCACGGUCAGCAAUGCAGGACGUGAUUUGACACAUGACGCUGACUGGCGAGCAGAGGUCAGGGACUCCGGCCGUUGCGCAUGCAGUGAUCAGUUGCCCAUUUCCGUUAUGCAUGCCUGGCUAGUGGCUACGCCUACGCGGCUAGGCUAGGCUGGCAGCCUUGCAUGACCGGCAGGCCGGCACAUACCGCUACGGCUGCUGGUUAGCCUAGCUAGCCCCUAGUAGGUUUAGGGCACUUCCGGCUUCGGCUCUAGGGACUCGUUUAGUUCACCCCGAAAUCCAAAGAGUUUUCAAGAUUUUUCGUCACAUCGAAUCUUGCGACACAUGCAUAAAGCAUUAAAUAUAGAUGAAAAUAAAAACUAAUUACACAGUUUGUCUUUAAAUCGCGAGACGAUUGGACAAUAUUUGUCAAAUAAAAACGAAAGUGCUACAGUAACGAAAUCCGAAAUUUUUUUGGAACUAAACAAGGCCUAAGGUGAUGGCGCGCCUUUUGCUCCGUGAUCGGCAUGCGAGCUGCCAGGCCCUACCCUAGGAGUACGGCCGUCGUCGUCGUCGUCGUCGUCUCGUCGUGCCGAGGUGGAGUGGAGGUGGGUGGCUGCAUUGCAUUGCAUGGGGCGCGCCGCGCGCCGGAGCGGAGCGAGGUCGGUCAAAGAUUCGGUCUCGUGUGUUUCGGGCGCGGCCUCGCGACGAGCUGGCGGCCCCCCCACGCCUGCAUUCACACACACUGCCUCUCUGGGCGCCGCAGUCUGCACCUGCCGCUGCUGCUGCGUGCCAUACCAUUGCCCCCGUCAGCUCAUGUCCUCCUACGCAUGCAGUGGCAGUCUCAGUGGUCCAGCGCAGUGCAGAGAUAGCGCGGUUCAGAGAGCAGAGGUAGCAGCCGACCCUCAUGCUGGCAACUUUUUUCCAGUCAGGGUCAGGGCAGCCUCACCUCCUCGGUCCUCUGGAUGGAUGAUGAUGCCGCUUGGGCUUGGCGCCAUCCCGAACGGGCUUAAAUGCUCUCCCACACGCCGGAGGAGUAGAUCACUUGUUUAUGACACAAAUGAACCGGAUGAUGUUUUAAAAGGCCAGCAUCAUACACCUGGAAGCUGCCUGAACGUCUCCAGUCUUCACUGCACAAUGGUCACACUCUCUCAAUUAAGGCCCAAGUUUAGUUCAAUAAGGCCUUGUUUAGUUACCCAAAAAUUUUGCAAAAUUUUGCAAAAUUUCCCGUCAAAUCGAAUCUUUAAGCGUAUGCAUAAAGUAUUAAAUAUAGAUGAAAAUAAAAACUAAUUACACAAUUUGGUCGGAAUUGACGAAGUCCAUAAUUAGGCAAUAUUUGUCAAAUACAAACGAAAGUGUUAUUAUUCCUAUUUUGCAAAAAAAAAUUAGAAGUAAACAAGGACUAAAUUUUUUGGUUUGGCUAGCACUAAUUAAACUAGAAAGAUUCAUUUAUUAAAUUAUAAACAAACUAUAUAUUUAAUUAUUUUUUAUUUUCAUCUAUAUUUAAUACUUCUAAAUUAACUGGCCCACAUGCACCCAUCAUUGUGGCAGAACCUCCUGAAUUAACUGGCCCACAUGCACCCAUCAUUGUCUCAAAGACUUCUGAUCAGCGUGCACGAGUUCCAAAUGACUCAAGAAGUCUGUCGGGUGUCCUCGGGAAACCCGAAUCAUCCACGUUUUAACUCAUACAGGAUCAACAUGGAGUUACCACAACAUUACAACAUUUGUUACAAAAAUAACUUACAUCAGAGUGCGGAAGAUUUAUAACUUAAUUUACAACAUAUGAUGAAGUACAAACUUAACUAAAUUUUUAAAAGGUGUGUAGAGUAGCGGAAGCAUCCUAGGUGAAGCUUCUAAGGUAGAAGAGGUGGAUAAAUCAUGUCGCGCCCACCGACAUGACCUCCAUUAGCAGUCUAAGUCAGCACCUGCAACAGGGGUUAAUAAACCCUGAGUACAAAAGUACUCAACAAGACUUAACCGACUAUAAAAGAGGUGAAAACUCAGGUAUGCAGGCUAUAGGGAUUCAAGGUAAAGCUUUAGCAAGAUCAAAGCAUUUCUUUUGCAUAAAAGCUUACUAAGAGUAAAACCUACUUUCAAGUUUUAACUCAAGGUUAUCAUUUAUGACUAACCAAUUAUUAUCAAGCUUCCAAACCAUAUCUUUCUUAUACCAAAGAUUCACUUAUUACUACGAUGAUGGUACGAGGAUUGAGGCUCCAUAUCCGAGGAAACACGGCGAUUCGAAUCGAUUAAACCCAGCUGGGGAUUCAGUACCACACGACAUAUGUAGAACUUAAUCUUGCAUAUGUCAACCUUUUCUAUAGAUCCUCCCAUACAAGAACGGGUCCAGCGUCACCCGAGAGUACAGUACACCACCAUCCUACAGCCAAUCUAGAUGUUUCCCGGUCAUCUCAGAUCCGUAAGGUGGGUACACGCUACUCUCGCCAUCUCUCCACUCCCAGUACGCGGUUAGCCGUUCUCAAGUAUCGGAAUAGCUAUAGGUAAGGCUUACCAGCGCAUGUGGGCUGUACUCAAAGGUCUCAAUCACAACAGGCCAACAACGGUACGGUCCUUAAUCGACACAGUUGGAGACACUACUUUAAGACUCCAUUCUUAAAGCAAAUCCACCGACCGGUCUCAAGUUUAACAUUAUCGACUACAAAAGUAUGCCACAACAACCCUUCAAACUUUCUCAUUUGAAAACUUAUCUAAUAAGCAGGGCUAAGCAUACUAAGCAUUUUCAUAAAACAAGUAUCAAGGUUAAUAUGAAAUCAUCAAGGUAGAUAAUGCAGCAAAUAGGAUUCACUCAAUUCCUAUUCACCUAAUGCAUCAUAUUAACUCAAGUGAUAUAAAUAACUUUAUGAAAAUACAAGGAUAGGGUUUAAUGUCCGGGGCUUGCCUUGGCCGGAAGGGAAGUCCGACAACUCAGCAAAACCAGAUGGAUCCACAAACUCGGAAGCAACCCACCGAGGAUUAGAUUCCUCCGGAGCGUAGUCUACACGUAGAGUUGCAUAUGCAUGAUCAAUGAGAUGUUCAUGACAUGAUAAAGACAGGUUACAAGUUCUUGGAUGAUAACAACAAUCAUAACUACCUCGAGUACAACUUACCUUCACGGUAUAGAAACAAACUAACUUAGCUAUCAAAACAUAAAUUACUACUAAGCAAAUUUUAUCAUCUUCAUUAAGCAAGGUUGUGAAGCUAUCAUACAACAAAGAUCAUUUAUAUGAAAUAAACCAUAGCAUAUCAUGCCAAGUAACCACUGGUUGUCAAUCAAUCCCAAAGAUCAAUCAAAACCUAAAAUGAUUAGGUUUUCUAUUUAUCUUAAUCAAUUCUUAAUUAAAUAUUAAUGGCAGUAAUUAAGUAUUAACAUCAAACAAUAAUUAAAUGUCAAAGGUCAUUAAGGUUAAUGACCUCAGGUCAUCACACAAUCCCAAAAGCACUCAAAUUCUAAUUUGGAAAUUAAGCUACUCAUUAUUUAAGUAAAGGCUAGCUAAAAACAAUAAACUCUAUUUGCACACAUAACCAGGACAGCAGCACAUACACAACUUCGUUCAACCAUAAUUAGAGAUCCAAACAUCCAAUAAAGGUGAUAUUAGACUUUCUAGAAAGCUUAGAUAAUUUUCUACAACUUUGUUAUUAUCUUCGAGAACUGAUUUAAAAGAUAAAAUAGCCAAACAGCAUGAAUAAACAAUUCUGUCCAGACUUUGGACAGAAUGAGACAUUAAGCUUUAUACCUCUAUGACCAGAGUUCUAGAUCAUAAAACGUCAUGAUCCAUAACAUUUUAGAAAGCUUAUGAAAAUUACUACAAUUCAUCUUUUAUCAUGAAAGCAUGAUUCAUAAGUUUAGUAGGUUGAAAUUGCACAACUACAGAAACUGAUCCAGGAUUUGACAGAAAGAAACCAUUUCUGAAACUUAAAUUUAAACAGACAUCACUCAGAAACUAUAGGGCCAAAUGCCACCAAAAUUUAACACCAGCUAGAUACAUGAAUUCUAUACAACUUUGUUAUAGACAAGUUUCAUAUCCAACAUUAUUUACCUAGAGCAAUUCAUCAUGCUCUAAAAACUAUCAAGAAACCACUAACAAUUAAAUUAUAGAGAAAUCAUAUUUCAUUUAUGUUCCAAACUUGAACCUGGGCAAAACCCAGCUCACCAAAAGUUGAAAUACAUCAAAGAGAUACUAGAAAAUAUCAUGGUCAUCCCUAAAUAAAUUCUUUUUAUGUCUUUAUUAAUUUAUUUAGAUAAAUAGACAAAGUAAUAACCAUAUAUCAAAAGUACACAAUAAAUUCUGAGAAAACUACAGAAGCUCAUAUAUGUUCUCCAAAGUCUACUGUAUAAAUUUCAUGCCAUUUGAAUAAGUAUAGCAGUUUCCAUGAAAAAGAUAAAUUUCCAUCACAAGAAAGCAUGUAGCAACAAGAUAAAUAAGAAACUCGACAGUUUCUACAAACACAUAGCUAAAUUAUGUAUCUGUAUAAUAUAAAGACCUCAUAUAAAGGCAGAGGAACCAUAUUUUACAUUUAUUUAUUUUUAGUUUAAUUUUAAACUAUUUAAUAAGCACUAAACAAGAUAAAUUAAUAACUUAACCAUAUAUCAUCUACUGAACAUGAAAUUUUUACUGUAACACUCACAUAACAUCACGAGAACACCAUAAAAAUUUCAGGGCAAUAGGAUCUACACAGAAUAAGAUAUGAAUUUCUCCUUUUUAAACAUAAUUAAAAGGCAUAAAUCAUAACCAAUUAUUUUACCACAAAACAUGGUCAGUUUCAUAUUUUUAAUAAAAACUAGACAUCUCAAGGAGCACAACAAAAUUUGGUUCACCAAAAUUGGAGUUACCAAACUCCAGAUAUGAACUUUCAAAGAUUCAACAAAACAUCUAAAAACAAGUCCUUAUAGCACUAUUCACCUGAGUCACAGCCUGUGCAAUUAGACCCCUGGAGAACUUCCAAUUGUUGCGCGUGGUCCCUGGUCGCGAUUCCAGAGCAGAGGAUGUCGGAGAAAACCUGAUUUCCGGCCCGUGGACGCUUGUUGGCAGCGAGGGAAAGCAUUGGGGAGCAUCCUGAGGCUCGCGCGCUCGCGCUGGUGUCAGCGGCUUGGCCGGAGAAGGUCUGUGGCCUCCUGGCCACGUGUGCAGGCGGCCAUGGCGGAGCUCUGUGAGCGGAAACUGGCUCACGGUUGAUCCCGACGAGGGGAGAGAGCACUAGCUGGCCUACCCGAUGCGCAAGGAUGCUGCGGAGCUGAAGAAGAGAUCAACUAGGCUUAGGUGUGAGGAGCGAGAUAAAUUCCGUCGGUGACCCAAGGUCACGGCGGCGGACAGAAAGAGGAGGAGCGAGGGUAAAGCUCUGGCUCCCUUUGGAUGAGGAUGCCUUCGACUCGUCCAUCUCAUGGUGACAGCAACCACGCAAGCAGCUGCGUGCCAGCCAUGCCCAUGGCAACGUGGGGAAGCAGGGGUGCCGGACAGAGUCGCGGUGCUCUGUUCCCAAAGGAGAAGUACUGUAGCAUGUCCUUAUCUCCCUCUUCCUUAUUUACCAAAUUACUUUUUAUUUUGUGUAAAAACUCAGAAAUCUACCAAAACAAGAAAUGUGCAGCACAAAAUUUACUACAACAUUCCUUUAAGGCUCAAAUUCAGAUCUUGAAAGGAAGGUGAUGAAUUUAAUCAAAACAGUUUGAAUUUCACAUUCCAAUUUGGGGAAAAAUUCCAAUUUGAAUUGGGGCAGAAUAGAAAUUCCAAAAUUACUUUUGAUUUUUCUCAAUAACUUGAAAAAUUCCCAACAUAAAAGUUGUUUAACUUUUUGAGAUCUACAACUUUUAUGUUGGCCACUUUUCAAGAUUCCAAAUAGAUUUUGAAUUGGGGAUUCAAAUUGGAAAAGGGGACAAUUUCUGGAAAUCUGUAUUUUCAAAAUUACUUUGAAUUUUGUACUGAAACUUCAAAAACUCAAAACACCAAAGUUGUACAUCUUGACAAGAUCUACAACUUUGCUUUUGAACUCAACCUCAAAUUUUACUUAGUUUUCAAAUUGCACCAAAGGGGGCAAAAACUGGGGUUGAAAUUAGGGGUUUUUCUUAGCUAUUCCCUUACCACCCUCCUUAGCUAGGGAUUAAACAACCAUCACAAGCAUCACUUCACAAGAUAAACACACUUUAAUUCCCUAAGCACAAUCAACCAAAAUAAACUUAUUUUAAGUUGAUGCAUAAUGAUGUGCUUAACAAAUAUGCUUUGCAAUGCUUAUGAUGACAUGAUCCGGUUUUAGUGUUCGUAACAUCAGGGAUGUUACAGCCCUUCCCCCUUAAAGAAAUCUCGUCCCGAGAUUUCUAGGGUACUAAAACUCGUGGGGUUAAGUAAUGGAAAAGGAAAUGUGUCAAGCACAUUAACUUCUGAGAAGUUCAUAAAACAAUUACAAUUGGUCCGAGAAUUACAACUAAGAUCAACAGAAUGUUGUAAUCAAUAAGGAAUGUUAGAGAAUUCAUAAGAAGAUAUGAAUCUCCAAAUGAGCUUCCAAGGAGAAUGAAAGCACACUAACUGUAGACUAUAGCGGAGCAUGACCAGAGAUCCCGAUGUUUAACGAGCACCUAGUAGUAUUUCCUUAUGGCUGCAGUCCAGAGGAGACUACAAGGUUCGACGCUAUAACGUGAUCACGGAUCAUGGUACCUACUAUAGAGUACGGUUACAAUAGCUUUCAAUGACCUAUGUUGGUUAUCUAAGUCAGGGUUUUUAGGUAAUUCCAAAGAGAUAUGGGCAUGGAUUCCCAUAAUAUUGUUCAAAGAGUGAGGUCACCUAAGUUGUGGGUCUAUAAGGGAUCAUGAUCAUAGACUUUGAUAACAGCGAGCGCCCGGCAGUAUUUCCUUAUGGUCGCGAGCCAUAGGAGACCCCAGGUUUCGGCGUUGUUACCUAAGUUAUGGGUCAUGGUACCUUAAGAGGACACAAUCAUAGUGACAUUCAAUCAACAGAAAUGUUGACAAAUGACAUCAAGGAGGUAGCAUGUGUCCGAAUUAGAUGAAAUCAAGGAAGGUCACAUGCAUAACAAAUGAAUCAAGGAUUAGGAUCUUAUGGAGUAAAAGAUUAUCAAUCAGUUAACGAAACCUGGUACAUGAUGAGAUUCAUCAAUAAAACAGCUAUAACGAAUAAUAACUGUUUUGAAGCAUAAGGAGGGGCUUUUAUGUAUCAUUAUAUUUGUCAUGUUAUGCUUGAUAUGCAAUAUGCUCGUCCUAUACGUCUUUACAACGUUAGCUAGGAGGUAACUACUUAUAUAGGGCAUACUUUAUACAUUAUCUUUAUUGCUCUGGACGGAAUGUUGCAAGACUUUUGAUAAAGCAUUGUUGGAGUAGUUUGAUUCUUCACUCGGCUUGUUGAAGAAAAAUUGAAGUCCCUUUCAAUGCCUUCUAUUUGAGUCGACAGAAAGUCUUCGUAGAACGGGGACAGCAAGCAUAAGAAAAGUUAAGGAGCAUUUAUAAGUCGUUAUCCUCAAAAACUUUUAAUUUGUAAAUUCCUUUUGAAGUUUUUCACAAGUAAUGUUGCAGAACAUCCAUGUAUGAGCUCUGAUACCAGCUGUGGCAGAACCUCCUGAAUUAACUGGCCCACAUGCACCCAUCAUUGUCUCAAAGACUUCUGAUCAGCGUGCACGAGUUCCAAAUGACUCAAGAAGUCUGUCGGGUGUCCUCGGGAAACCCGAAUCAUCCACGUUUUAACUCAUACAGGAUCAACAUGGAGUUACCACAACAUUACAACAUUUGUUACAAAAAUAACUUACAUCAGAGUGCGGAAGAUUUAUAACUUAAUUUACAACAUAUGAUGAAGUACAAACUUAACUAAAUUUUUAAAAGGUGUGUAGAGUAGCGGAAGCAUCCUAGGUGAAGCUUCUAAGGUAGAAGAGGUGGAUAAAUCAUGUCGCGCCCACCGACAUGACCUCCAUUAGCAGUCUAAGUCAGCACCUGCAACAGGGGUUAAUAAACCCUGAGUACAAAAGUACUCAACAAGACUUAACCGACUAUAAAAGAGGUGAAAACUCAGGUAUGCAGGCUAUAGGGAUUCAAGGUAAAGCUUUAGCAAGAUCAAAGCAUUUCUUUUGCAUAAAAGCUUACUAAGAGUAAAACCUACUUUCAAGUUUUAACUCAAGGUUAUCAUUUAUGACUAACCAAUUAUUAUCAAGCUUCCAAACCAUAUCUUUCUUAUACCAAAGAUUCACUUAUUACUACGAUGAUGGUACGAGGAUUGAGGCUCCAUAUCCGAGGAAACACGGCGAUUCGAAUCGAUUAAACCCAGCUGGGGAUUCAGUACCACACGACAUAUGUAGAACUUAAUCUUGCAUAUGUCAACCUUUUCUAUAGAUCCUCCCAUACAAGAACGGGUCCAGCGUCACCCGAGAGUACAGUACACCACCAUCGAUUCUGUAGCACUUUUAUUUGUUUGUGACAAAUAUUAUCCAAUCAUGCACUAACUAUGAUCAAAAGAUUCGUCUCGUGAUUUACAGCUAAACUGGGUAAUUAGUUUUUGUUUUUGUCUAUAUUUAAUGUUUUAUGCAUGUGCCACAAGAUUCGAUGUGACGGAAAAUCUUGAAAACUUUUUAGUUUUCAGGGUGAACUAAACAAGGCCUAAUUGAAGUUAGUGCAUUAUGGAAUUCAAAAGUCUGGUCCAGCAGCAGCUAUAUAGCUUUCCUUUGGUCCCGAUCGAUCAUACCUGCUUUUUUGUGAUUGAACUUUUUUGUGAUUGAACUUGGUAACCACCGCGCGCUGUUUGUUCGAUCGGACGGUCAAACGGCCCCCGCCCGCGGUGCCCCUCGCGCCGGCAGGCCAGGGACCAUCGCAACCCAGGCGCAACGUCCCUUUCAGCUGGAUCCAUCAGAGUGAUCGAGGCCCGGUGCCGGUGCCGGAUCCACCACCACCUCGGUCCUCAUCGUCUGCCCUUGCCCGUCGGAUGUAUGCAGUGGCGGCCGGCCACGGCUCGUGGCCACUCGCAUGCUCGCUCGACCCGCCGUCGUGGGGGUUUCAGCUCGGUGCGGCGCGGCGGAUGAUUGCACGUUUGAAUUGGGACGAUGUUGUCUCAGGAGUUUGUGUUCAGCUACGCGACAGUAGUGGAACUGGAAGUCAUGCAUGCUCCUGCCAGGCUGCCACGACUGCUGCUGCGGCUGCUUACAGCCUUUGCGUCGCACGCAUCGUCCUUGUGUUUCGGACGUGUUUGGUGCAACACUGUACACAGGCCACAAAGACCGAAGAGGAAGAGACGGCAUGAGUGAAGGCAAGAAGAUCUUUUGGUUGGAGGCUUUUUACCGCACGUACCACCCGGAGGCGCAGCCGUAAAGUGGUAACUCGGCGAAAAGGUGAAAACCGGGCCUUGUUUUACCGCUUUUACAGUCUCCCGCACACGGCCGACCGUGUGAGGAGAGGAGACGAAUCAGACGCAGCGAGGCAAUGCAUGCAUGCCGCUGCAUGGGAAGAGGUGAGCGCGUGUGCGAUGGCAUGGCAUCGCAUGGCUGGCAUGCUGCUGCAUGGGAAGAGGUGAGCGCGUGUGCGAUGGCAUGGCAUGGCAUGUGACUGUGUGCGCGCCGUCUAGGCGGCCGCUGCUAGGCUGUAACCCGGCUGUAACUUUUGGUGCCAGCUGCGAUAGUUUUUUUUUUCUUUUCGGAAGAGCAAUAGCAGAGCGGCGCAAACGACAAGAUCAUGAGAUUUUCCACGCGCGUGGUCGUGGCCUCUGGCGGCGGCCGGUCAGGCCUUCCUGUGACGCAGGCAGAGGCAGUGUACCGUUGCCGCGGCCGGCCGCGCACGGCGCACCCCCUUCCCCCGGGGGCCGGGGCGCGACGCGGCGGAGCAGGCUUCGGGCGCGCCCCGCGGGCACUCUCGCUCCAUGGCCGGGCACGUGAACCGGGUGCCCCGUGCCGUGAGGCACAUGCACUUGCGCGCGGCGCGGCAGCGGCGGAGCACGUCGAUUCCCUCACGCGGCCUCCUAACAUGUUGCCAUCCAUGGAUUUGAGCCUCGUGAAGCCAGAUAUAGACAUCUAUGAUGAAUUAGCUUGAUGCUGCAAUGUGCCAUUGGUUUGGUUGUCUGGAUUCAGCACCAAGUUGUACAGUUGAAAGUCUUUGAUGGCGGUGGGGAAGUCGGUUGACGUUUUUUUCCCUUCUACAACCACUUAUUGAAUACUCCGUAAUCUCCGUGCAAGUUAUUGAGAGACGCACCCAGUUGGACAUCACUCAGAAAACUUGUGCGAGGUAAGAAGUUGGAGCACUCGGACAUGGGCGCGCGUGGAAACCAUGGACAUCAUCAAGAUCGUAAGAACUUGAUUGUGAAGUUAAAAAGGGGGUGUUGUGAACGAUAAAGAAAGUAAAAAUUGGUCCUAAGGUCAUAUGCUCUAUUGCUAUGUAGCCCUCAGAUUCGCUCACGCAUCUCAGAGCAAAUCUAAAGGUGCUCAGCAUAACAACAACAGAACAUGUACCCUAUGAGAAAAAAAAAUUGCCUCGAGCUAAGGCCCACAAUGCUACCACGAUAUGCAUAUUCGCCCCAUCAUAUAAGGUAGGACAUGACGACAACACAUAGUUCAUGUAAGCCUCUUUCACGGUAACCCUGAGAUAUUGUUAUAAUUGAUUAUGAACAUAUUUGUAACUAAUUUGGCAUGUCAAGAGUAAGCUAUGGACACCAUCAAGAUCUCAACUUGGGCAUGAAGGAAUCUAGGGCUAUUUUGGGUGAUAAGGCCCACAAUGCUACCAUGACAUGCAUAUCUAUCCCCUCAACAUAAGGUAGGACAUGCAUACUACACAUGGUUUUAUGAUAGCCUGGGUCUCAGAUAUCCCUAAGAUAGUGUUAUGAUUGACUAUAGAACACAUUUGCCAACUGAUCAGGGACAACCAACUUAUGUACCCUACCCAUAUAGGCCACAUAAGAUGGGGGUAGGGAGACUCGAUUUGGUAUCCAAUCUACUAUUCAUCUCCGAGCACAAUCAGUACAAUCCACAAAAACAUGAUGCAGAGUAUGACCUCCUUGUAAGCGACUAAAUAUCUAUGAAUCUUUGUGCCAUUUGCUACUAUCUUUUUUUUUGAAAGCUUCAAUUUUCAUCGCAUCACAAACAAAGUACACAUAUAGGGCUAAGAUUGCCCCUUUUGAAAUGUUCUAAAGCUUGAGCAAUGUUACGUAUUGGUGAAUGUGCUAAUGCGUGGCAAACUAGCAAGAGAGUAGACAAGCGUUUGGGAUUCUAGCACACCUUGCUUUUUUUGCAAGUGUGUGAGCUGUUUUGUUUGACUCUCUUCCGAUCUUGAUGAAUGAGAGGUUUCUAACUUGACUUAUCUCCUGCAAUUCACAAAGUAGAGGACAUAGUGUCUAAUGACCAUCUAAUUUCAUCUUGCGCAUAAUGCCCAAGUCAAUUAUCGAUGACAAAACACUGACAAUAUGAAAUCGACAAGGGGUCUCUUCGGAUCACUAUAUGAGCUUGCCAUUACUCACCACAUAUGUAUAGUCUUCCACUUGGUUCACUUCCUAAUCUUGUUGCAAGCUUAACCUACUGUUUUGGUGUGAUGCACAUCAAGCCAAACACGAUGUAAGGGUAGUCCUAAUCCCAAAACCAGGGGCAUAGCCAAGGCCUGCCUACCGUGGGCCGGUGCCCGGUCUCCACCGCAACCUGCACUUUAGGACAAAAAGGCCCAGUACAGAUAAAGAGGUUAGUGGGAGGUGCACCACCACAACUUCACACUAUCACACAUCACGAGAAAGUUGUUUCGCCCAGCCUCUAGAAUUGCUGGCUCCGCCACUGCCCAAAACAACAUAUCUAUUCCAAUACUAGCCAUAUCUACAAAGACACUCCAUCUAUAAAACCACCCUUUCCUUCACUGCAUCAUAUUCUUUAUGUGUGCCUUCUCUCCCCUAAUACUCCGUCCCUCCCAGAUCCAAUUAGCUCUCUCUCCCUCCCCCUCUCUCUCAGAUCCAAGCAGCUCUCAAUCAAAGGGGCUACCAAUAGAAGGAUCUCUUGGUGAGGGAUGGUGCGCGGAUGUCGUAGAGGUGGCGGGCGUGGUCGAUCACGAGGUGGGCGGACCACUCGCUCGGAUGCGACCGACGGCGAGGCGGGCGGUGUGGCAAGGAUGCAACGUGCAAGCACACAACCCUCAAUGGCUAUAGAGCAAGCUCCACUUGAAUGGAAACAUGCGACACCCGAAUCGCUGAAACCACUCGUUUCCUACCUUUCGUGUUCGCAAGGCGAAAUGGUUUCUCAGGCAUGAAAAAACUUACCUUUCUCUUAUUUUUUUCUUAUUUAGUUAGCAAUAUGUUUGUAUGGUAGCCCAUUUAAAGCUUAGUUCUUAUGGAUCUCAAAAGAUUUAGGAAUCUUACUUUUCGUAGAGUUAAAAUAUCCAAAGUUUGACCAAUAAAAAAAUAAUGAUAUUAGUCAUGAAAUAUAUUUUUAAUGUAUUAAGCCUAUUUAUAAAAGUAUGAAUGUUGAUAUUAUUUUUAUAAAUUUUGUCAUUUUUUAGGAUUAUUUGAUUUGGGGAAACAAGAUUUUUUUUUAUGAAGGUAGCAUCUGGUUCCGAAUGUAGUGUUUGGACUACCAAACCGACGACGAGUAUUGUAUUGGACACGGCGCUGUAUCACGAAAUCUAGCCUGCCCACAAAUUGCCCAGAUUAUGCGGUCCAACGGCUGCUUUUGACAAAGGGCCUGUUUAGAUUGGGAACGAAAAUUUUUGGGGUGUCACAUCGGAUGUGUCGGAAGGAUGUCGGGAGGGGUUUUUAGAAACUAAUAAAAAAACAAAUUACAUAGCUCGUCAGGAAACUGCAAGACAAAUUUAUUAAGCAUAAUUAAUCUGUCAUUAGCAUAUGUGGGUUACUGUAGCACUUAAGGCUAAUCAUAGAGUAACUAGGCUUAAAAGAUUCGUCUCGCGAUUCUUAACUAAACUGUGUAAUUAGUUUAUUUUUUUAUCUACAUUUAAUAUUCCAUACAUGUGUCCAAAGAUUCGAUGGGAUGGAUGAAAAAAAUUUGGGUGGGAAACUAAACAGGCCCAAACAAUAUUACUGCAAGGCCAGCAUGACAGUGCUGCCACCCCCAGACAUAAAUACUCUCCGGGCGUGCACACGCACAUAAAUUACGCGGACAAGGCAACCACUGCAUUUGUUUUCGCCCGGUCAUUGUUAAAGAAUCAAUCCCCAAUCCUUUCGCACAGGUGCUGCCUCAGGGCGAAAGUUACCGAGCUUUUCUGUUGGCCUGGUAUCAGAAGUUACCGUAUCAGUACAUGGCAAUGGCAUAGUAAAAACUUUUACUACUCGAUUUAAAACUUUGCCACUCCAAUCCAAGGCGCCGAGAGACACGUCGAGCCUAGUUCUCCUCCCUCUUUUUAAAGAAGGGAACCGAAAGCAGGGCAAGAGACGGGCAGCGGCCUGACCUGCGCAAAACCCCCGCUCUCAUCAGUCAUCUCUCCCCAACCAAAACCCCAACAAGCCGCAAGGGAACGGAACCUUUUCGCCAGCGGCCUGUUCGAAAGCAACUGCAGGGGAGAAGAAGCUGCGCAGGAGAAGAGGAGGAAGGCGGCGGCGGUGUGUAGGCUGCGCAGAGAGAGGCAGCGAGGGAUCGUAAGCUUUUGGCAGUGGUGGUCUUGGAAUGCAGCAGCAACACCUGAUGCAGAUGAACCAGAACAUGAUUGGGGGCUACACCUCUCCUGCCGCUGUGACCACCGAUCUCAUCCAGCAGGUCCUGAUCCUAACCCAAAUCCCCCCAUCCCUCCCCGCCCCCGCGAUAUCCUCGUGUCUUUGAAUCUUUUCUUCUUUGUUUGUGCCGUGAUCUUGCCUUCGCAAUCGAUUUUGGAUUUGCUCGUUUCUGCAAUCGUCUGGUCGUCAGGCUAUCAGAUAUGAGUCAAAGUUCUCUCCUUUUUCGUUCUUUUCCCCUCCCUGAAUUUUUUCCCAAUCUCUUGCUUUCUUGAUUUUUCUCUGCACUAAUAUCUUCACUUUUGCUUGCAUUUUUUUUCAUCUGUAAAUGACUAAAUGCAAAUAUUCUUUUUGGCGACCGGAAAAAUACUCCCAUAUCUUUUUAUCAAUCUUGCAUGAUAUUCGAAAUAGUUGUACUAGUUCACACUUCCUGAUACUUAGGGCUUUCAGUUUAUCCCUCCUCUUCUGUUCUUCGUGUUGAUUUCUUUUUCCUCUUUUUUUUUUCAUCUUUCGAUUAAUCCCAUGUCCUUGUGCCAUUUUAUAUUGACGUGUUUUCAGAUGGUCCCUCGUUUCUGAUUUCCUCUGCAGUUCAAACUGCCGCAGUCUAUUCCUUUGCUGUUGUCGCCCACAUGAUUUGAAUACCUCCAUUAUCUCCACAUCUAAACCCCAACCCUUUGUAGCUCGGUUUGGUUGGUGACCCUUUGUAGCUCGGUUUAUAGUGACCUGCUGUUUUUCGCAAGCAGUAACGAUGCCAGGCCUGCACCCUGCACCUGUCUCCUGCCUAGUAGCGAUCUUUAAAGCCUGGCCAGGCGGCAUCAUGGUGGAUAUUUCCAUCGAAGGAAAUAUAUAAAAGCUGUGAGAUUUGCACCGACAUCAAAUGUUUGGGAUAUUCCAUCAAUCAAUGGAAACAUAUAAAAGGACUAUUAGUAUCAAAUAUAUUAUUACAUGCUUGUUUUUUCUCUAUGAAAGUAAUUUUGCAGACACUGAGUGGUCACAAGCUCUCACACGGCCCUUAUUGGCCGUGCUGUGGCAAAGCAUGAUCUGGACCAUAUUCUGAAAUUCAUGUGGGUAGGAGCGAAUGUAGGUUCGCGUGCGCUGUACUGCCGGCCGCCCAUUGGAGUUUGACUGUUACUCCGUAGACCCAAAAAGCUCCGCUUCACAGCCAAACGCCGAAAUGCUAACAGGCAGGGGCCCGGACUGGGGACUGCAUGACCUUGCCUGACGCCUUAUGUUUGCAUGCUCCCGUGUCAGUCAAUGAUUGAUCUUUAGAUUGGGAGUGGCGUACUACUACGUUUGAGUAGGAAACCAGCGGUAUCAAUCAUUGAAACGCCACGGCAGUUCAUUGGGGGAUGAACUGCCGUGUUGGUCAGUCGUUGAGCAAAUGCACCGCCUGACGCCCAUUGUUCACUGGUCUGCAAAGUAUUUGAGACUUUUGAUUUCUUCGUUAGCUGAAUAGCAGUACAUGGAUGAGAUCGUAAAUGCUCCGUCUGUGGUCAGUGAUGAUGGAUACAGUACAUCCGUCUACUGGAUUGUAUUGACAUGCUAAGGGGGUGUUUAGUUCACCUUGUAUUCCAAUUUUUUUUGAGUUUAGUUUGUCAUUUUACAAAAUCGAACUAAACACCAUGCAAAAGUUUUAGCAAAAAUGUGGUUCUUCUCCAUUUUGUAUUUUGGCCACAAGAGGCAAAAAGAAAAAAAAAACAAAAGAGCCCCAUAAGGCGGCAAUAAAUUCUGCAUUUUGGAUGUAACUAUGUAUUUCAUCAUUCCAAGUAGUUGACAUUUUACUUUUUUUUUAACUAAACAUCCCCUAAUACGUUUUCGACCCUGAACUGUGCAGUACCUGGAUGAGAACAAGCAGCUGAUCCUGGCCAUCCUCGACAACCAGAACAAUGGAAAGGUGGAGGAGUGCGAACGGUGAAUUCCUGACUUCCAUGUUAAUCUCCCGGCAUGAUUGUUAUUUGUUAUGGAUGUAGUAGCAGCUAGACUCUAGCAGCUGUAACUUGUGUUAACAUGGACAAGAAUGCCCCUUCGUUCAGUCUAGCAUCAAACAAGCCUAAUUUGUCGACUGUUAAAACAUGUUUCUUGCUAAAAUGCUUCUUUGGCGAUGAAUGAUUCCAUAUCUGCACACUCCAAUACUGGUUAGUCUGCUGUAGCUCGUACAUUGAUUAAUAUAUUUGCCAAGUGCACGUGAUAAAGCAAGUUACUAGUUCUGUAGCACCAACCAUGUACUGUUUUGUUCAGUCUACUGUUUUUAUGGCCUGUAAUGGCAUCAUGUCAAUGUCAUAUAUCACACCUUCUAUAGUUUUUCCAUAACUGAGGCAACUUCUGAUGUUUCUUUCUCAAUCAUCGUUCCAAGUAAUAGCAAGCAUGUUCAUCUGUUCACUGUUUACUUGCGGCAACCGGUAAAAGAGACUUCUUUAGUUUAUAUGUGUCAACAAUCCAUGAUUAUGUAGUGCGAUGGACUAUAGAUAUCCUCGUCCGCUGAGUGUUCCCGUGUUUGCCACCUGAUGCUGUCUUGCAGGCACCAAGCUAAGCUCCAGCACAACCUCAUGUACCUGGCGGCCAUCGCUGACAGCCAGCCACCACAGACUGCACCACUAUCACAGGUACUGCUAAUGCUGCUCGUCGGCUUGGCCCUUUCUACUAUAAUACCCAAUCAUUUUCAUUAGCGAAUCAAGGAUUGCGUCGCUCAUCUCACUUGGCAUGUCUGCAGUACCCGUCCAACCUGAUGAUGCAGCCAGGCCCUCGGUACAUGCCACCGCAGUCCGGGCAGAUGAUGAGCCCGCAGUCGCUAAUGGCGGCGCGGUCCUCCAUGAUGUACGCGCACCCGUCCAUGUCGCCACUCCAGCAGCAGCAGGCAGCGCACGGCCAGCUGGGCAUGGCUUCAGGGGGCGGCGGUGGCACGACCAGUGGGUUCAGCAUCCUCCACGGCGAGGCCAGCAUGGGCGGUGCUGCUGGCGCAGGCACCGGCAACAGCAUGAUGAACGCCGGCAUGUUCUCAGGCUUUGGCCGCAGCGGCAGUGGCGCCAAGGAGGGAUCGACCUCGCUGUCUGUUGACGUCCGUGGUGGCACCAGCUCCGGCGCGCAGAGCGGGGACGGCGAGUACCUGAAAGCAGGCACCGAGGAAGAAGGCAGUUAAGACGAUGUCACUAGCACUGGCAUCGGCUCGGGAACGGUAUGGCAUAGCAGCAGGAUUAGCAGGUAGCUUUGAGGAACGAGGAGGGGGUAGUAGCGUAGUAAUGGUAGCAUUAGCUAGCAGUAUGUAGUCGGUAAGGUAGGGUUGUUCCAUAGAACCUGGAGGUGGUAGUGACCAGCAUGCAUGCAUGAUGGUCACUUGUUUUGGAUGUACGUUGCAGGUUCUCCCCCAAGAUGUAGUAUGGAACGUUGCUGUUGACCUCUUUGCGCAAACACUAUGCAGUGUUGAUCUUGACCAAAAAAAAACUUUUCGCCUACUGCCUUUUGAUCUUGUGAUUGUUGUCGUAACAUUUAGUUUUGAAGAAGCUGGACACAUUAUGUGGAUGCAAGGAGUGUCUGAUCAUGGCGACUUGGAUGUGUUUGGUUUGAUGGAUAUUCAUGGAUGGAGAUAACAAUUCAUAUUUUGAAAUUAUGAGAGAAUAUUAUCUCUAUAUGGUGGAUGAGGCUACAAGAAAAUACCUGAUGUGCUUAUCUAUUUUUCUAAUCUUUGUUAUUAUUAAUAAAUUAAGGAUUAUUAGUAUGCUCUAAUUUUUGUCAUUAUAUUAAUAAAAAAGGAUCAUUAGUAUGUUAUAUUAAUAUACUUAAUUAUGAUGGGCUUCUAUGUUAACUAGCGCAUGAUUUGUGUGCCAAUUAACAUAUUUUAUUUUAGUUAGUAUUUUUCUUGAAAAAAAUAGCGUUCACGCAUAUUUCUCAUUUCUGUUAAAAGAUAUAAUUAGUGAACUAUUAACCUAUCCAUCGAACCAAACAGAGGGUACAGUCUUAAAAUCUAUGAAUAGCCGUAUCCAAUCCAAUAUUGCCGUCAAAUCAAACACACCCUUGGAGGACUCGCCCCAAUAACCAAAUCCUACCCAUUUCCUUCCACUCCACAACUUCAAAUCUGAUUUCUCCUCACGGGGAUCUACUAAUUCAUGGAUCAUUGAGGCUACUUUAUCACUUGGAAGCUUGAUGUCGGGGCUUGGUGUUGUGGAGGCGACUCGCCAUGGGCCUUCGCUGCCACACCCCCCCUUCGGCCACCCUAGUCUCUAGCGUGAAGCUUGCUGUGUCAGUUCUUAUCGUCCGUCUACUGAAGCUUAUGAGGUCGGGCUUGGCUGCGUUGUCAUCGAGGUGGCCUCCUCCUAAUUGUUAGUAACUUUGUGCCUUCCACCAGCAUGGUGGUGGGUGGUGACCGAAUGUCUGUCGUCAUUGCUUUCCAGUUCCGGUAGGGAAUCACACCUUGGAUUUGUCGAGCUCGGUGUGUUGUCUCCUCAAUGCCUUUGUUAUCCCCUGCCAUUAACGAGACCACUACCUCUGUUGUGGACAUUGGGCGCUUGUAGUACCGCAGAACCUCAUCGCGACGUUGCCGCUUGGAUGUUUGUAGUACCACAAAACCUCCUCAUGACGUUGCCACUUGGUGGUCUUAUGCUCAAAGACUCAUUCACCCUCUUUAUCGUUUGUUUGUGCCAAGGCCAAGGUCGUCCUCUGGAUAUGGACACAUGUCAGGCUUCACCUCUAAUGCAUUGUCGAUGUUAUUAACACAGUCAAGUUUCCAGCUCUCUCUAGAAUGGCUCGUGAUAUCUUGGCCAUUCUAAUGUCCAUUGUAAGCAGUAGUAGCUCUAUAUUCUCUGCUGGAAAAGGAAGGCACAUGUUCGAUGACUGCAUAAGCUCUCUUUCGACCUAAGAUUAUGGAAGCAUUUGUCUGCGCAAAAAAGACCGGCUCUAGUGUUCACCACCCGAAUUUUGUACUAGUGAAGGCUGGAGGAUCAGGUUUGUCUUGGUCACUGUCUGCCUUGUGGAAGAAGAAUCUAUUUGAUCCAUCCGUUGCGCCAUAAACCGCACACACCACGUGCAAAGAGGCCAGCCGGUGCCCGGUGGCCUUUGGACUUUGGAAAGUGGCCCUUGCUUUUCGAUUGCCGAGCUGGGUCCUAUGGCCUCUGGGUCCAAGGGUCUGCGUCCGGCCGAACGCCCAAGGCCCAACCCAAGACGCCACCCAAUCCAGCGCCGUGCUGCGGCCGCCACCCAUCCAUCACCCACACAAGCCCCCCCACACACACCCCGAUCCAUAUUUUCCGUGAACCAGGAAACUCUCUCACGAGACGAGGAAACCGCCCAAAGAUAGACCCAGCGUCCCACCCCACCCAGCCUGUUUCCACGCGCGGAGAGGCCCCCACCUGGUCCACCGGCAGCCUCACAGGUCGCGCCAGCUCACGAGGCCCAUCGCCAUGGGCCGCUAGCCCAUUAAAUCCCCGCACCGGGCGACUCCGCGUCCCGCAGCCACGAGACCCCCUCUCCGGGUUCUCUCUCUCUCUCUACGGGUCGAAGCCCUUCUCUCCUCUCUCCCCGCGGCUCGCCCUCUCCCCCAUCACAGGAUCUAGGGUUUGCUCCGCCCGGCCUUCGUCCUUCUUGGGCCGAGCCCUAAUUCGUCUGCACGGCCGCCACCAAGCAAGCCGAGCCCCCCGGUUUGGUUCGCCUCCGCCCGCUGCGCCCCGCUUCCUCUCCCCGUACGUAAGCCCCCCAAACUGCAAACCCCCCUCUCUCCUGGACCUCCUCUGCUCCUCCCCGCGUGUUCCGUCGUCUUCUAAAUCCGCGCUGCUCGUAGCUUUCGCGGAUUGGGAUUGUUUCGUGGUUUAGAUUUCGGUGCGCCGUUCGAGUUGGUCCGUUGGGCUCCGUUUUAGCGGGCUCGGUUCGUCGGAUCUGUAGGGGAGCAAGCGCUUCGCUGGGAGCGUUGCGGGGAAUUGUUUUGUUUUGGUGCGAAAAUUUUCGUAGUUUUUUUCAUUUCCCGGUGGGUGUCAGGGCGCUGUUAUCGCUUAUUCAAUAUUGUUGCCUUUUCAUCGUAUUCUGGUACGAAUGAAUUGUGGCGUGUGUGUGUUUCUGGGACUGGUUCAGUUUUCCGACGGAAUUACUAAUAUUUUUGAGGAAGUAGGACUUAGUUGUCGUCUGUGAAGAUGAAGAGUCUAUAGGAAACAGUUCGAUUUUGUUCGAUUUUGGUCUAUAGGACUCAGUCUUGUUAGCUAGAGAAUUACUAGUACAUGUUACCCUGAGCGUUUGAAGCUUAAAUGAUUCAUCGCAUAGUGCUACAUCUUUGUGAAUCUCGUGCCUAGACCAGGGUAGUCAUACUUGAGUAUGAUUUCAGCACUACUAGGUUCGAUACCUGUAAUUAUCUUUUUUGAUAGGAAGUUCCAGCUACCAUGGCUUGUUUCUGACAGGAGUUUAAGUAAACGAUGAGCGUGGUUGAGUUUCAGCAGAAAGGCUUGGUUACCAGUGGCAUUUUAUUGUUUAGCUAUUCUUGUGCAGCCCUAUAUGGUUCUGCUCAAGGGCCUGCCUUGAACUUCAUAUUUAUUUUCCGUUUCAAUUCUAGAGCAUGUUUAGCUACUUGCAUUCAGCAUUGCUUUGCCUGGCUUGGUGACAUUGAUCACGUUUCUAGCGUCUUGCUCAUGCUAUAAUCAUUCAUGGUUAAAAACAUAGCUUAAUUGCUUACAUCUCUCUCAUACGUACAAUGUUCUAUAAUUUUUGUACUUUUGGAUACCAUCAUGAUUGAGACGUCAUCAUUUUUUUUAUCUAGUUUACUGCAGAAGAAUAUAAUCCUCGUGUAGCUUUUGGAAAGUGUCUGCAAUGUUGGUGGUCUCUGAACGUUGACUUGAAAAUUUGUUCCUGGGGACUGCUGCCAUAAACAAUCAGAUCUUGUUAAUGAUGGAACUAUGUAGAAUAUUUUCUGUAUGUGUAUUUUGUCAUGAAAACUUUGAUGGUGUACCUAUGAAAUUUUAUGGAUUUAAAUGCAUGAGCGGUGCCACUGACUUAAGUCCACAAACUGUGAAAAUGCAUUUCUAGGCCCCUAAACUUUUUAAGUGGUGCGCCGUAGUGGUCUUUAGGUCCACAAAUGGACCUGCGCUGCGAUGCACUAUUUUUACAAGUUUAUGGAUGUGUGGUGCACCGGUCAACAAGUUUAGGGACUUGGAAAUGCAUUUUAAAGUUCGUGGACCUAAAUGACACCGUAUAACAAAUUCAGGGGCCUCUGAUGCAUUUCACUCAUUUUUUAUUUGUUUGGAGUCCCUUUAUCAUGAAACAAUCAAGUGAUAUGAUGUGACUGAAUUGCACUUAACACGAUUGUACUUACUAACUAGUCAAAAUUGACAGGCAUUCUUGGAUUCCAUUGGCUUGUAUCUUCAGCAUGGGUGAGCCAAACAGCAAUGAUAAUGCAAUGGUGCAUAGCAAUGAGAUGGUUGAUGGCAAUGGUGUGAUCCAUGGUAGUGAGAUGAUUCAUGGUAGUGAGAUGAUUCAUGGAGAUGAGAUGGCCCAUGGUGAUGAGAUGAUCCAUGGCAAUGAGAUGAUUCAUGGGACUGAGAUGGUUGAAGGCAAUGAGAUGAUCCAUGGUCAUGAGAUGGUUCAGGUUAAUGAUCUCAUCAACGGUCAUGAGAUGGUUCCAGUUAACGACAUGGUCAAUGGUGAUGAGAUGGCCCAUGGUAAUGAAUUGGUCAAUGCUGAGAUGACCCCGCGAACAUCAAGACGUCGGAAGAAGAAGUCGCUAGUUUGGGAGCACUUCACUAUAGAAGCCAUGCCAGGAGGGAACUCAAGAGCAUGCUGCAAUUUAUGCAAGCAAACCUUUGCGUAUAGUUCUGGCUCAAAAAUUGCAGGCACUAGCCAUCUCAAGAGGCACAUCACCCUGGGCUCAUGUCCUGUUAUGAAAGACCAAGACAGGAAGCUAACACUGCCACUUGCAGGGGGCCAUGUCACUGAUAAUGAUGGUGAGGGUGCUGUGGAACGUCCUACAAAGAGGCGUUACAGAUACACUGGUUAUGCAAAUGCUACUUUUGAUCAGGAACGGAGUUCCUCUUAUCUGGCGAAGAUGAUCAUUUUGCAUGACUACCCACUUCACAUUGUUCAACAGUCAUCCUUCACUAAUUUUAUUGAGAGUCUGCAGCCUCGUUUCAGGGUUGUAGAUGUGGAGACAAUGGAAGGAGAGGUGUAUGCUGUUUUCCAGAAAGCAAAAGAGAACCUGUUGCAAGCAUUCAGCACUAUGCCUGGAAGGAUCAGCCUCACUAUAGGACUCUGGACAACCAGUCAGACUCUUGGCUAUGUUUCUCUUGCUGGGCAGUUUAUUGACUCCGAUUGGAAAGUGCACCGAAGAAUGCUCAAUUUCAUGAUGGUGUCCUCUCCUCAUUCAGAGAAUGCACUUAGUGAAGCUAUUAGCUCGAGCCUUUUGGAGUGGAAUAUGAAGGACAAGCUGUUCACUAUCACAUUGGAUAAUGAUUGCUCUUCCCAUGAUAUUUACAGUGCAAAUCUUAGGGACCACCUCUCCAAUAAGAACAACCUCAUGCUUAAGGGACAGCUCUUUGUUGUGAGGUGCUAUGCUCAUAUCCUUAAUGUUGUUGCUCAGGAUGUAAUUGCUUCGAUUCAUGGUGUGAUUUACAACAUCCGUGAGAGUAUCAAGUUCAUAAAAGCUUCUCCAAGCCGUGAGGAGAAGUUUGCUGAGAUUGCUCUGCAGCUGGAGAUUCCCAGUGCCAAGACCCUUUGUUUAGAUGUUACAACCCAGUGGAACACAACUUAUCUGAUGCUGCUGGCUGCCUUGGACUAUAAGCAGGCUUUUGCUACACUGGAGACAUGUGAUGAUAAUUACAAUGAAUCUCCUUCAGCAGAGGACUGGAAGAGAGUUGAGGCAAGCUGUAAUUACCUGAAACUGUUAUAUGACUCUGCACAUAGUGUGAUGGCUUCAGCAAACCCUACUGCAAACAUCUUUUUCCAUGAAGCUUGGAAAAUUCAGCUUGAGCUAGCCAAUGGCACAGAACAUGGAAGUCCUUUUUUCAGCAGUGUUGCCAAGGAUAUGCAUGAGAGAUUUGACAAAUACUGGAAAGAUUGCAGCCUGGUGUUAGCCAUUGCUGUUGUUAUGGAUCCACGUUUCAAGAUGAAGCUUGUUGAGUUCAGCUACUCUAAAAUUUAUGGUGCUGAGGCUACAAAAUAUGUUAAGGUUGUCAAUGACUCUCUGCAUGAGCUGUAUAAGGAGUAUGUCGCACAGCCGCUCCCCUUGACCCCUGCCUAUGUUGAAGCCAAUAAUGUGGCUGCCAACACAAAUGUUAACCAGGGAAAUCCUCCUUCCACUAGUGAUGGUCUUCUUGACUUUGAUAUGUACCUUUCCGAAAUUCAAAGUAGCCAGCCAGCAAAAUGUGAACUGGAGCAGUACCUGGAGGAAUCCC
rnacentral:lncRNA from 1 species